rnacentral:rRNA from 1 species
UACGUAGGGUGCAAGCGUUUAUCCGGAAUUAUUGGGCGUAAAGAGCUCGUAGGCGGUUUGUCGCGUCUGCUGUGAAAACUGGGGGCUCAACCCCCAGCCUGCAGUGGGUACGGGCAGACUAGAGUGCGGUAGGGGAGAUUGGAAUUCCUGGUGUAGCGGUGGAAUGCGCAGAUAUCAGGAGGAACACCGAUGGCGAAGGCAGAUCUCUGGGCAUUAACUGACGCUGAGGAGCGAAAAGCAUGGGGGAGCGAACAGG